UUAAAUUGAAGAGUUUGAUCAUGGCUCAGAUUGAACGCUGGCGGCAGGCCUAACACAUGCAAGUCGAGCGGUAGCACAGAGAGCUUGCUCUCGGGUGACGAGCGGCGGACGGGUGAGUAAUGUCUGGGAAACUGCCUGAUGGAGGGGGAUAACUACUGGAAACGGUAGCUAAUACCGCAUAACGUCGCAAGACCAAAGUGGGGGACCUUCGGGCCUCAUGCCAUCAGAUGUGCCCAGAUGGGAUUAGCUAGUAGGUGGGGUAACGGCUCACCUAGGCGACGAUCCCUAGCUGGUCUGAGA
rnacentral:rRNA from 1 species